rnacentral:rRNA from 1 species
UACGUAGGCAGCGAGCGUUGUUCGGAGUUACUGGGCGUAAAGCGUGCGUAGGCGGUGUCUUAAGUUUGUUGUGAAAUCUCCCGGCUUAACCGGGAGGGUGCGGCGAAUACUGAGAUGCUGGAGUGCCGGAGAGGUAAGCGGAAUUCCUGGUGUAGCGGUGAAAUGCGUAGAGAUCCGGAAGAACACCGGUGGCGAAGGCGGCCUGCUGGGCAGUGGCUGACGCUGAGGCGCGACAGCGUGGGGAGCAAACAGG